rnacentral:rRNA from 1 species
CGAACGGGUGAGUAAUGCGUGACCAACCUGCCCCAUGCUCCAGAAUAGCUCUUGGAAACGGGUGGUAAUGCUGGAUGCUCCAACUUGACGCAUGUCUUGUUGGGAAAGUGUUUAGUGGCAUGGGAUGGGGUCGCGUCCUAUCAGCUUGUAGGCGGGGUAAUGGCCCACCUAGGCUUCCGACGGGUACGCCGGCCCUGAGAGGGCGGACGGCCUACAUUGGGACUGAGAUACGGGCCCAGACUCCUACGGGAGGCAGCAGGC